CUGCGGAAGGAUCAUUAUUGAAUGAACUUGGUGUGGUUGUUGCUGGCUCUCUUGUGGGGGCAUGUGCACACCCGCCAUCCUCAUCUCUCCACCUGUGCACCUCUUGUAGACCUGGAUGAAUUUUCCGAGGUAACUCGGUCGGGAGGAAUGCUGCGCUCUUUGCGUCGGCUUUCUUUGCACUUCCAAGCCUACGUUUUUUUCAUAUACCCGUAGUAUGUAACAGAAUGUAUCAUUGGGCCUAAGUGCCUAUAAACCUUAUACAACUUUCAGCAACGGAUCUCUUGGCUCUCGCAUCGAUGAAGAACGCAGCGAAAUGCGAUAAGUAAUGUGAAUUGCAGAAUUCAGUGAAUCAUCGAAUCUUUGAACGCACCUUGCGCUCCUUGGUAUUCCGAGGAGCAUGCCUGUUUGAGUGUCAUUUAAUUCUCAACCUUAUUAGCUUUUGCUGAUAAUGGCUUGGAUGUGGGGGUUUUCUUUUGCUGGCUUUCGUCAGCUCCCCUUAAAUGCAUUAGCUGGUGCCCCGCGUGGACUGUCCGUUCGGUGUGAUAAUUAUCUACGCCGUGGAUGUCUGCAAAUAGGGUUGCACUGCUUCUAACCGUCUGUUCAUUUGGACAAUACAUGACAAU
rnacentral:rRNA from 1 species